rnacentral:rRNA from 1 species
UACGGAGGGUGCGAGCGUUGUCCGGAAUCAUUGGGCGUAAAGGGCGCGUAGGUGGCCCGGUCAGUUCGUGGUGAAAGCGCGGGGCUCAACCCUGCGUCGGCCAUGAAUACUGCCGCGGCUGGAGCACUGUAGAGGCAGGCGGAAUUCCGGGUGUAGCGGUGGAAUGCGCAGAUAUCAGGAAGAACACCCGUGGCGAAGGCGGCUCACUGGCCCGGUACUGACGCUCAUGUGCGAAAGCGUGGGGAGCAAACAGG